rnacentral:lncRNA from 13 species
UUUUUUUUUUUUUUUUUUUUUUUUUUUUUUUUUUUUUUUUUUUUUUUUUUUUUUUUUUUUUUUUUUUUUUUUUUUUUUUUUGAGACAGAGUCUCACUGUCUCCCAGGCUGGAGUGCUGCGGCAUGAUCUCGGCUUACUGCAACCUCCACCUCCUGGGUUCAAGCAAUUCUCUGCCUCAGCCUCCUGAGUAGCUGGGACUACAGGCACACACUACCACACCUGGCUAAUUUUUGUAUAUUUAGCAGAGAUGGGGUUUCACCAUCAUAGCCAGGCUCACCUUGAACUCCUCACCUUGUGUUCCACCUGCCUCGCUUCCCAAAGUGCUGGGUUUACAGGUGAGUUGUUGCACACUCCUUAG